rnacentral:rRNA from 1 species
UACGUAGGGUGCAAGCGUUAAUCGGAAUUACUGGGCGUAAAGCGUGCGCAGGCGGUUGUGCAAGACAGAUGUGAAAUCCCCGGGCUUAACCUGGGAAUUGCAUUUGUGACUGCACAGCUAGAGUGUGUCAGAGGGGGGUAGAAUUCCACGUGUAGCAGUGAAAUGCGUAGAUAUGUGGAGGAAUACCGAUGGCGAAGGCAGCCCCCUGGGAUAACACUGACGCUCAGGCACGAAAGCGUGGGGAUCAAACAGG